UACCAUGAAGGUACCGGAUUUUAUUUGCCUACCACCCUAUGUGAUAUCUGGCUCAAAUUGUAUUAUUAAGUGAUAGCAAAAAUACUAUUUCUUUAUCUAAUAUCUAAGUAAUUUGCAAAAUAAGCUGAAAGAAGGAUACCUUUGUGCUACCUUUUGUUCUUUAAUAAGUUGCCACAUUACACAUUAAAAUAUUUUGAAAAGUAAAGAUUUCUCUUCAUUUUAUUGCA